rnacentral:rRNA from 1 species
GAUGAACGCUGGCGGCGUGCCUAAUACAUGCAAGUCGAGCGAACGGACGAGAAGCUUGCUUCUCUGAUGUUAGCGGCGGACGGGUGAGUAACACGUGGAUAACCUACCUAUAAGACUGGGAUAACUUCGGGAAACCGGAGCUAAUACCGGAUAAUAUUUUGAACCGCAUGGUUCAAAAGUGAAAGACGGUCUUGCUGUCACUUAUAGAUGGAUCCGCGCUGCAUUAGCUAGUUGGUAAGGUAACGGCUUACCAAGGCAACGAUGCAUAGCCGACCUGAGAGGGUGAUCGGCCACACUGGAACUGAGACACGGUCCAGACUCCUACGGGAGGCAGCAGUAGGGAAUCUUCCGCAAUGGGCGAAAGCCUGACGGAGCAACGCCGCGUGAGUGAUGAAGGUCUUCGGAUCGUAAAACUCUGUUAUUAGGGAAGAACAUAUGUGUAAGUAACUGUGCACAUCUUGACGGUACCUAAUCAGAAAGCCACGGCUAACUACGUGCCAGCAGCCGCGGUAAUACGUAGGUGGCAAGCGUUAUCCGGAAUUAUUGGGCGUAAAGCGCGCGUAGGCGGUUUUUUAAGUCUGAUGUGAAAGCCCACGGCUCAACCGUGGAGGGUCAUUGGAAACUGGAAAACUUGAGUGCAGAAGAGGAAAGUGGAAUUCCAUGUGUAGCGGUGAAAUGCGCAGAGAUAUGGAGGAACACCAGUGGCGAAGGCGACUUUCUGGUCUGUAACUGACGCUGAUGUGCGAAAGCGUGGGGAUCAAACAGGAUUAGAUACCCUGGUAGUCCACGCCGUAAACGAUGAGUGCUAAGUGUUAGGGGGUUUCCGCCCCUUAGUGCUGCAGCUAACGCAUUAAGCACUCCGCCUGGGGAGUACGACCGCAAGGUUGAAACUCAAAGGAAUUGACGGGGACCCGCACAAGCGGUGGAGCAUGUGGUUUAAUUCGAAGCAACGCGAAGAACCUUACCAAAUCUUGACAUCCUUUGACAACUCUAGAGAUAGAGCUUUCCCCUUCGGGGGACAAAGUGACAGGUGGUGCAUGGUUGUCGUCAGCUCGUGUCGUGAGAUGUUGGGUUAAGUCCCGCAACGAGCGCAACCCUUAAGCUUAGUUGCCAUCAUUAAGUUGGGCACUCUAAGUUGACUGCCGGUGACAAACCGGAGGAAGGUGGGGAUGACGUCAAAUCAUCAUGCCCCUUAUGAUUUGGGCUACACACGUGCUACAAUGGGCAAUACAAAGGGCAGCGAAACCGCGAGGUCAAGCAAAUCCCAUAAAGUUGUUCUCAGUUCGGAUUGUAGUCUGCAACUCGACUACAUGAAGCUGGAAUCGCUAGUAAUCGUAGAUCAGCAUGCUACGGUGAAUACGUUCCCGGGUCU